UACCACAUCGAAAGAUUACGAAUUUAUCACACCUACAAUAGUAAUUAAAGAAUUUGAGAACCUCGCCUCGCCGCCUGAAGUUCCGUCUUCUUGAUUAUCUCACCUUUUUUUGGACACACGGAGUCUGCUGAAGUUUCGUCUUCUUGAUUAUCUUGUUUACGCUAUUUUUAAUUUUCCACAUCCUUGAGACACGUAGAUGCUGCUGAAGUUUCGUCUUCUUAAUUUCUCAUGUUUCGUUUGGUGUUAGUGACAUACGAGGUUAUGUUGGAUCAUGGAUACUGAUAUGUCUGAAGCUGUAGAAUGUGAGAAGAAGAAAAAAAGUCGUAGGCCGUUCAAACCUCCUCCGAAACGUUCUAGGAAACGUGGUCGUCGUGGCGGCGCAAAAGCUCGUGGGCAGAGGUUAAGGAGGCUGGAGGGAUCGUCUUCCACAGAGGGUAGCAAUAGUGUGGCUCCAGCCCCAUCGUCGAGUCUCGGUGAUCCUUUUGGUUAUUGAUCUAACCUUCUCCGAUGAGGACACCCUUCAGUUGCCGCCAAGUUCUCCUUCGAUCGAAGUGGUUGAUACAGAUGCCUGUGCCAAGGUUCGUUUUUGGGAGGAGAUCCCUGAUCAAGUGUUGGAGGCUUACCUACGCCACCAUUCCUCAG